UCCCACGAGCAGCUCUGAUUUCUUGCGUGCGCACCUGCACACACACACACACACACACACACACACAUACACACACUUUCUUGACAGAUUGCUUUUCCAUGAGCAGCUCUUAUUUUACAGGCAGACAGACUCACCCACCCUCCCCCCCACACACACACUUUCUUGACAGAGGUUGCCUCAGAUCUGAGAGCAUUGUUGGUAUAAAAAUGGCAUUACAUUAAGUCUUGCCCACCAGCUGUAAUGGUGAUGAACCUCCUGAGUCACCUAGAGAGCGUUUCUCCCUGGCUUUGUGACUGUGCUGACCCCCACUUGUCUUAUAGUAGAAUAUGUUGUUUAGAGCAUUUGGCAAUGAGGCCGUUUGACAGGUUACCUGUGUCACCAGGACAUCUGCAGCAGUUGGCGUGGAUGAAGGUGGUUCUGGAGAGGAAGCAAGAAGUGGCGUCGGGGCCUGGAGCUCCGAGGUUGACUGUGAAGUGGUUCAUGAUCUCAUAACCCUGUUCCACUUUCUCCAUCUGAAACGCCUUCGACGCCUCCGCAAUCCUGCAGCAAAGACAGGUGUCAUUCUCCGUCACCGGCUAAAGUCUGAUAGAUAGCCUUGGGCGAAGACGAAACAGUGUGCUUGUUCGAUCAAAUAGAAAGUACUCACUUUUGUAACAGGGUCUUGGCGUUCUGGGAAAGCAAGAAAGAGAAGCUUACUUGGCAUGUUCACAUUAAGUUGGUGAGAUUUAAUCCUCUGUUUGUGACUCAGCAUCUCCUAGCUGGGCUUCUAGAUGUCACCCUCUCUACUUAAGCAAUACCAAAUGGAGGAAGCUUUUAGUUGAUGAAAUGGAUUUUUAAAUGCAAUGUAGAUAGAAUACUGAAAGCCCGCCUCUUGGGUUUGUGUUCUUGGUGGCAAAGAGCAUUACCUGCAGAAACACGGCCAUUUCCGGCUCGUCCAUGAACUGGAUCCCCGACUCCACCAGCUUUGAUACAUUCUCCAGGUGGUCAGAAUACUUCCGGAUCAGGGCUCGGACGUGCGCCAGUUUCUCCUCCUGAGUUCGGGUGAUGGCUUGGGCCAUUUCGGUCUUCCUCUCCUCCAGGAUGCCGUACAGGUAGUCGAACUUCUCACACAGGUCCUGUUUCUGCUUCCUGCAGCAUUCCUGUUAGUUGGGUCAGCCGGUGUUAGAAACGGUGUGUGAGAGAAUCUAGUGAAACGAUCAUCUGGACACGUUAGGAGACAAGAGCAUCUACCGAUGGAAGAAAAGUACUCCGUCACAUUGGUUAAACAAAUCAAUGCCCCCCCCUCUCUCCAUGUGUGUGACUAUUCAUAUCCAUGUGUGUGAGCAUAUAUGUGCCAAUGCGUGUUUAAGUUUGUGCACAUGUAUGCGGACAUAUGUGUGCCAAUGCAUGUAUAAGAAUGUGCACAUAUGUGUGGAAGCGAAAGAAAGAUCGAUGUUUUGUGGUUUUUUUUUUCAGUUUCUGUCCACCAUAUGUUUUAGACAGUAUUUAUGCCUCUUCAGUCCUGGGAUCACAGGUCACAUCGCUGUGCCUGAUUGUGUGAGCACUGAGGAUUUGAACUCAGGUCCUCCACUUUGCUGUGCCUGAUCGUUUGUGUGAGCACUGAGGAUUUGAACUCAGGUCCUCAUGCUUGCACAGCAAGCUCUUUACCAACUGAGCCAUUUUUCCAGCCCUGGUCUUCUUCACAGAAAUCAAAACAGGUUUUACACUCUGUUUUAUUUACAUUGUGUAUACUACAGGCCAUAUUUGGCAAGGUGAGGUGAAGAAAAACUACGCUCCUUCCUAAUUUGCACACACUCACCUUUCUUUUUUCGCAUGGAGAUUCUGAAGUUUCCCACAGGCCUUUGCACCUGGGAUUCCCUUCUCCAGCCCAAGCAGCUGGAUGCAGCCAAAUUCGCUGUUUUGGACUACAGUUCUAUUCAUGCUUUUUUGUUAUGAAUCCCUUGAAAGGAACCUUGCCUCCUCUCAUUUGUAACCCUUAUCAUCUGAAAGCAGCAGUGAGAUGAUUGGGCUGUUUUAUCUUUUAGGGUCGUCACAAUUAUCGACUUCCCAUGCUGAUAUGAUUCUAGAAAACUGUCAAGAAUGCUGAGGAGGGUGUAGAUGGCUAUAGGCCAGCUUAUGCAAACAGUGUGAACAUAGCAGACUUAUUUGGGACUACUCACAUUUAGUGCCUAGUUCUGAGUCAUUAUGAAAGUUUUUUAAAUACAAAGUAUUGACACAGGAGCAUAUCCCCAAGUGAAACAAAAAUAUCUCAAGAAACUCACAUGUAGUUUUAUUUAAGUCAUGGCUUUGCUUUACACAAUUUCAUGGAUUUGGGAAUGAUUUACUAUUAAUGACUUAAUGGUUUUACUUGGAAAACAACUUUCAAUGUUGUGAAAGUAAAUCUGCUGGCCUGGCUUGUCACCCGGGUAUCCUGUCCCUUUAAGAGACAGGCCCCUCCCACUCCCAAUCUCCCCCUUUGGACUCUCCUUCUCUCUGUUGGCACCUAUGGCACAUAUGUGCAUCUGGUAUAUGUCUGUUUGCCAAACGCUGCUGAAGAGAGGGAAAUGCUGCAAAAAGCCCCUCCGUCUAGUCUGACUCUCACAUACAUUGUGAGACUGAUGUUAAAUCAUAGCUAAGUGCCACUCCAGCCGGCCCAUUGGUCUGCCCUUGCUUUAUCCAGCUCUGGUAAGCUUGCUGUGCUCUUUCUACCUCUGGCUCUUUCUAUCUCUGGAUCCAGAACCUUCAGGGCUGAGAGCAGGUUGUGAGACGGAGUCCCCUCAUCUAGCUCUCCUGCCCUGAGAAUUCAAGUAACUUAUGUCUGACACCUCUGACCUCACCAUGACCAAGUUGUUGACAACGGGUGUGGCUACAAACAAGAUCCCCUAACCUCCUGUGCUCCUUCUUUUAAAACAGGUUUGACAUAGGGAGUGGCUGCCUACAGGAUCCUUGGUCUAGGGUGUGUUCACUGCAUAUUCCUGUCCCACACAUUAAAUACUUUUCUCAGGAAAUAAUGGCUUGAUGUCUCAAGUAUCAAAGCAAGUAACCGUUCUGGUUGCCCUUUGUGUCAUGCUAAGCCGUCUUUUGCCUUCUCCCCCACCCCUUUUGUAUUGGGGCAUAAAAGUAUAUGGAAACUAAAUGCGGGUGCAUUCAGCAUUCAAUGUCCGCUGAGUUUCCCUCCCAGUUCUAUCCUAUGUCUCUGUGUUUCUUUCUUCUCUCUGUCCCUCCUACCUAACAUUUUUAAUCCUUGUGCCCUAACGUGGAACGUAGGAGCCUGCCGUGACUGGACCAUGGCAGAAGUCACCCCAAAAAGGUGGCUUACGACACUUUGCAUCCACGUGUCUGCAGACAGGAAAUUUCGAAGAACAGUUGUUGCCUGAAAAAGCAUGAUUACAACCAUAUUUCUCUCUUCUCCACGAAACCUUAUUUCCUUCUAAGAUUUCCUCUUGUUUUUACCAUGGCACUUUAUCUAUUUGAAUAAAUAGACCGAGGCCAAUUUCUCAUCCUUCCUCUCCUGCUUCUAAAUAGUAAUUGAAUUAAGAUACUGGUUCAUGGCCAGGUGGUGGUGGUGCACA